rnacentral:rRNA from 1 species
AACGAACGCUGGCGGCAUGCCUAACACAUGCAAGUCGAACGAUGGUCUUCGGAUCAUAGUGGCGCACGGGUGCGUAACGCGUGGGAAUCUGCCCUUGGGUUCGGAAUAACAGUUGGAAACGACUGCUAAUACCGGAUGAUGUCGAUAAGACCAAAGAUUUAUCGCCCGAGGAUGAGCCCGCGUCGGAUUAGCUAGUUGGUGGGGUAAAGGCCUACCAAGGCGACGAUCUGUAGCUGGUCUGAGAGGAUGAUCAGCCACACUGGGACUGAGACACGGCCCAGACUCCUACGGGAGGCAGCAGUGGGGAAUAUUGGACAAUGGGCGCAAGCCUGAUCCAGCAAUGCCGCGUGAGUGAUGAAGGCCUUAGGGUUGUAAAGCUCUUUUACCCGGGAAGAUAAUGACUGUACCGGGAGAAUAAGCCCCGGCUAACUCCGUG